rnacentral:lncRNA from 1 species
ACUCGGGAGGUUUACUUUUUACUUGUGGGGACGACUCCGCUUACUAUGGAGACGACUCGCGCAUAUCACUUAAAAUCGGCCUUUCUGCCGCCUCUGAGAGAGUCGACUCCGCUACUGAGAGAGUCGACUCCGCUAUCGCGGGGACGACUCGGCAGGUGCCGGGGACGUCUCCAGUCGUGCCAGUUCUUCCUGUUUGUGCCAGAGACGUCUCAGAGACAACCCGGAGACGUCUCGGCUGUCCCUGAUCUGUUUUCUUCAGCUCAAAACUUCUUCAAUAAAUUCAUAAAAUUAUGGAAACUUGCCUAGACAUUUCUUAACAAUAUUCUUAAUUAAACACAUGAAAUCCUCAAGUAAAUUGUUAAGAUAAAUGAAAUUAUACUCUAGUGUUUUGUAUUCAUCAAAAUCCAUUAGGAGGUCAACAGAAAGGAAAAAAAACCUUCGUAUUAUGCAUAUAGUUGGGGUGUGAAUGUAAACUAACUUGAGACAGAUGUAAAGUUUGUUAUGUUUUGAGCUAUGUAUAGUAGACUUUAAGUUAUAAAUGAAAGCUUGGGUUGCUUUUAGUUAUGAUUAAAGUGAGUUAAAUAAAUUAAACUGACAGGUUUAGGAUGUAUUGAUUUUAUUGGUUGGUUGGAUAUAGUAAUUGACAGGUUUUUAAUAGUAACUUGUGAACCGCGGCACAAGCUGCUAAUAGAAACUCUGCUCGGUACUGUACCCGACUAACCUACUGUGGGAGGGGAUCUCACAGAAUUCAUAAGGAUUGGAAGCAAGAAAAAUUUUUAGAAGCAAAAAAGAAGAGAAAGAAAAAAAAUUCUGAACUUGGGUCGACCCAACCCAGAAUAGGGUCGACCCAACGUUGAGUCGACCCAA